rnacentral:rRNA from 1 species
AGAGUUUGAUCCUGGCUCAGGACGAACGCUGGCGGUGCGCCUUAUGCAUGCAAGUCGAGCGAAGCUUUUCAGUAGUUUACUACAGAAAAUGACUGAGCGGCGAACGGGUGAGUAACGCGUGAGCAAUCUACCUUAGUUACAGGGAUAGCCCGAGGAAACCCGGAUUAAUACCUGAUAUUCUUUAUUUCUCGCAUGAGAAUAAAAGGAAAGGUCAGCCGAACUAAGAUGAGCUCGCGUUCUAUCAGCUAGUUGGUGAGGUAAAAGCUCACCAAGGCUACGACGGAUAGCUGGUCUGAGAGGACGAUCAGCCACACUGGGACUGAGACACGGCCCAGACUCCUACGGGAGGCUGCAGCAGGGAAUAUUGUGCAAUGAACGAAAGUUUGACACAGCGACACCGCGUGUGGGAUGACGGAUCUAGGUUUGUAAACCACUUUCAGGAGGGAAGAAAAUGACGGUACCUCCAUAAGAAGCCCCGGCCAACUACGUGCCAGCAGCCGCGGUAAUACGUAGGGGGCGAGCGUUGUCCGGAUUUAUUGGGCGUAAAGAGCUCGUAGGCGGUUCAACAAGUCGGUCGUGAAAGUUCAGGGCUCAACCCUGAAAUGUCGAUCGAUACUGUUGUGACUAGGAUACGGUAGAGGUGAGUGGAAUUCCGUGUGUAGCGGUGAAAUGCGUAGAUAUUCGGAGGAACACCAAUUGCGAAGGCAGCUCACUGGGCCGCUAUCGACGCUGAGGAGCGAAAGCUAGGGGAGCAAACAGGAUUAGAUACCCUGGUAGUCCUAGCUGUAAACGAUGGAUACUAGACGUAGGAACUGGAUUGACGGUUUCUGUGUCGCAGCUAACGCGUUAAGUAUCCCGCCUGGGGAGUACGGUCGCAAGACUAAAACUCAAAGGAAUUGACGG